UGAUGAUCAUGAUGGUGAUGAUGAUGAUGAUCAUGAUGGUGAUGAUGAUCAUGAUGAUGAUCAUCAUCAUCUUCAUCAUCAUCAUCAUCAUCUUGC
rnacentral:pre_miRNA from 1 species